CACAAACUAUGAUCAGCUCCUAUAAAUAACGAACAAAACCUUGUCAAUGAACCACGAAGAAUACCCAGCACAAUUCCCGAACUAAAAUGUCAAUGUCACAACAUCAUCACAUCAAAUGUGUAAAGAAAACAUUUUUAAUUAUCAUAGGCUCGUUAAAUAUAUCCGCUCCACCCACCGUCCCCCCAAACCGAUGUCAUGAGGCAUGAUUUUUCCUUGGAGAUGAUCCAAGACUUGCGCAUAAAAACUAGAUAGAACAAAAUCCGCUCGAAAAAUCGUUCCUAAGGUCAAUGGUAAGCCUGAAGUAAGCCAGUCAUCAAUCGGCACUGCAAGAAGAGGAAGAAAUCGUCUUCAGUCGCUGUCACUCAAUCAGUUGAUCUCAAAUUGCUCCGCUAAGUUGUCUGAUUAAUUGUUUAAUUUCGUUUUCGAAUUUGAAUAGUUAUACAAUCCGGAAGCAUGAGUAAGAAGAGAGUUUGCAUCGUUGGAAGUGGAAACUGGGGCUCGGCAAUUGCCAAAAUUGUUGGAGCGAAUACUGCUAAAAACAGUGACAAAUUCGAGGAAAAAGUCACUAUGUACGUAUAUGAGGAGAUGAUCAACGGGAAGAAGCUCACGGAGAUUAUUAAUGAACAGCAUGAAAACGUUAAAUACCUGCCGGGACACAAGUUACCACCAAAUAUCGUUGCAGUUCCUGAUGUCGUGGAGGCUGCGAAGGAGGCUGACAUCCUCAUUUUUGUCAUUCCUCAUCAAUUCAUCAGGGGUCUUGCGGCUGCGAUGCUGGGGAAAAUUAAGCCAGACGCUGUUGGUCUUUCCUUGAUAAAAGGAUUCGACAACUCCGAUCCAAAGAACAUUCAACUGAUCUCAAAGGUCGUCACAGAGCACCUGAAAAUUCCUUGCUACGUUCUAAUGGGUGCGAAUCUGGCAAAUGAAGUAGCCGAGGAAAAAUUCUGUGAAACGACAAUUGGUUGCAAAGAUAAACGCCUAGCACCUGUGCUCAGAGACAUGAUUCAGACACCCAAUUUCAGGGUUGUGGUGGUGGAUGAUCUCGAAGCUGUGGAAGUGUGCGGAGCUUUGAAGAAUAUUGUAGCCUGUGCUGCUGGUUUUGUUGACGGUCUGUCCCUCGGCGACAACACAAAGGCAGCUGUAAUCAGACUGGGUCUGAUGGAAAUGAUUAAAUUCGUUGACACAUUCUACGGAGGAUCCAAAUUGUCAACAUUCUUCGAGAGUUGUGGAGUUGCUGAUCUCAUUACUACUUGCUACGGUGGACGAAAUCGCAGGGUUUGCGAGCAAUUUGUUAAAACAGGAAAGACAAUCAAAGAACUUGAAGAUGAACUUUUGGGGGGUCAGAAGCUCCAGGGGCCAGCGACCGCAGAAGAAGUCAAUGGAAUGCUGAAAUCCAAGAAUUUAACCGACAAAUUCCCCCUAUUCACAGCUGUCCAUCGCAUCUGCAGCAAGGAGCUCAAAGGAUCAGAUCUGAUAGAUCAAAUUCGCAAUCACCCUGAGCACCAAUUUGCACCGAAAAACCUGUAUGUUUAUUAACCCUCUAGAGGAGACUGAUUAAUCAAUGUAGUAAGUUGCGAAUACUAGACUAGGAUUCUCACUGCAUGAUAAAAAUUGGGCAAUUGAGAGCUAACUUGGCAGCAGCUUGAGAAUCCAAAUAAUUGAAUGAAUUAAAUCCCAUUGCUCAGAAUUUUAAUAAACUCAUUAGGUCGAGAGAUAACUGUAAAUAAACGAUGUAAAACCGGAAAGAGACGACCACCGAAAGUAUUGUAAAUACUGAUAAAUAAAUAAAUAUUAUUGUUACUGAA